CGAAACCAGGUGAUCUACCCUUGGUCAGGUUGAAGUUCAGGUAACACUGAAUGGAGGACCGAACCGACUUACGUUGAAAAGUGAGCGGAUGAACUGAGGGUAGCGGAGAAAUUCCAAUCGAACCUGGAGAUAGCUGGUUCUCUCCGAAAUAGCUUUAGGGCUAGCCUCAAGUGAUGAUUAUUGGAGGUAGAGCACUGUUUGGACGAGGGGCCCCUCUCGGGUUACCGAAUUCAGACAAACUCCGAAUGCCAAUUAAUUUAACUUGGGAGUCAGAACAUGGGUGAUAAGGUCCGUGUUCGAAAGGGAAACAGCCCAGACCACCAGCUAAGGUCCCAAAAUAUAUGUUAAGUGGAAAAGGAUGUGGCGUUGCCCAGACAACUA
rnacentral:rRNA from 1 species